rnacentral:rRNA from 1 species
GUCCCGUGCCGUGAGGUGUCGGCUUAAGUGCCAUAACGAGCGCAACCCUCAUCAUUAGUUACCAUCAGGUAAGGCUGGGGACUCUAAUGAGACUGCCAUCGUAAGAUGUGAGGAAGGUGGGGAUGACGUCAAAUCAGCACGGCCCUUACGUCCGGGGCGACACACGUGUUACAAUGGGUGGUACAAAGGGCAGCUACCUGGCGACAGGAUGCUAAUCUCCAAAACCACUCUCAGUUCGGAUCGGAGUCUGCAACUCGACUCCGUGAAGCUGGAUUCGCUAGUAAUCGCGCAUCAGCCACGGCGCGGUGAAUACGUUCCCGGGCCUU